UACGUAGGGCGCAAGCGUUAUCCGGAAUUAUUGGGCGUAAAGAGCUCGUAGGCGGUUUGUCGCGUCUGCUGUGAAAACUCGGGGCUUAACCCCGGGCCUGCAGUGGGUACGGGCAGACUAGAGUGCGGUAGGGGAGGACUGGAAUUCCGUGGUGUAGCGGUGAAAUGCGCAGAUAUCAGGAGGAACACCGGUGGCGAAGGCGGGUCUCUGGGCCGUAACUGACGCUGAGGAGCGAAAGUGUGGGGAGGCGAACAGG
rnacentral:rRNA from 1 species